CGCCUACGGGAGGCAGCAGUGAGGAAUAUUGGUCAAUGGACGAGAGUCUGAACCAGCCAAGUCGCGUGAAGGAUGACUGCCCUAUGGGUUGUAAACUUCUUUUAUAUGGGAAUAAAAUGUUCCACGAGUGGGAUUUUGUAUGUAUCAUAUGAAUAAGGAUCGGCUAACUCCGUGCCAGCAGCCGCGGUAAUACGGAGGAUCCGAGCGUUAUCCGGAUUUAUUGGGUUUAAAGGGAGCGUAGGUGGAUUGUCAAGUCAGUUGUGAAAGUUUGCGGCUCAACCGCUA
rnacentral:rRNA from 1 species